GAGUUUGAUCUUGGCUCAGGACGAACGCUGGCGGCGUGCUUAACACAUGCAAGUCGAACGAGAAUCUACUGAAAGAGUUUUCGGACAAUGGAAGUAGAGGAAAGUGGCGGACGGGUGAGUAACGCGUGAGGAACCUGCCUUGAAGAGGGGGACAACAGUUGGAGACGACUGCUAAUACCGCAUGAUGCAUAAGGGUCGCAUGAUUCUUAUGCCAAAGAUUUAUCGCUUCAAGAUGGCCUCGCGUCUGAUUAGCUAGUUGGCGGGGUAACGGCCCACCAAGGCGACGAUCAGUAGCCGGACUGAGAGGUUGAACGGCCACAUUGGGACUGAGAUACGGCCCAGACUCCUACGGGAGGCAGCAGUGGGGAAUAUUGGGCAAUGGGCGCAAGCCUGACCCAGCAACGCCGCGUGAAGGAGAAGGCUUUCGGUAUGUAACUUCUAUCAGCAGGAAGAAAAUGACGGUACCUGACUAAGAAGCCCGGCUAA
rnacentral:rRNA from 1 species